UUGAAAUAAUUUAAAGUCUGACCUGCCCAAUGAUUAUUUGAAUGGCUGCGGUAUUUUGACCGUACUAAGGUAGCAUAAUAAUUAGUUUUUUAAUUGAAAGCUGGUAUGAAUGGUUGGACGAGAAAAUAGCUGUCUCAAUUUAAUUUUAAUUAGAAUUUUAUCUUUAAGUUAAAAAGCUUAAAUAAGUUUAAAAGACGAGAAGACCCUAUAGAGUUUUAUAUUUAUUUAUUAUUGUAAAUUUAAAGAAUUUUUUUUUUUAUUAAUAAAUAAAUAUUUUGUUGGGGUGACAAAAAAAUUAAAAAAACUUUUUUUAUUUUAAAAUCAUUGAUUUAUGAAUAAGUGAUCCAUUUAUUAUGAUUAAAAGAUUAAAUUACCUUAGGGAUAACAGCGUAAUUUUUUUUAAGAGUUCAUAUCGAAAAAAAAGAUUGCGACCUCG
rnacentral:rRNA from 1 species